rnacentral:rRNA from 1 species
UGGGGAAUUUUCCGCAAUGGGCGAAAGCCUGACGGAGCAAUACCGCGUGAGGGAGGAAGGUCUAAGCGAUUGUAAACCUCUUUUCUUAGGGAAGAAAAAAAUGACGGUACCUAAGGAAUAAGCAUCGGCUAACUCCGUGCCAGCAGCCGCGGUAAUACGGAGGAUGCAAGCGUUAUCCGGAAUUAUUGGGCGUAAAGCGUCCGCAGGUGGUAAUACAAGUCCGCUGUUAAAGACUAGAGCUUAACUCUGGGCAGGCAGUGGAAACUGUAAAACUAGAGACCGGUAGGGGUAGAGGGAAUUCCCAGUGUAGCGGUGAAAUGCGUAGAGAUUGGGAAGAACACCAGUGGCGAAGGCGCUCUACUGGGCCGGAACUGACACUCAGGGACGAAAGCUAGGGGAG